GAUGAACGCUGGCGGCGUGCCUAAUACAUGCAAGUCGAGCGAACAGACGAGGAGCUUGCUCCUCUGACGUUAGCGGCGGACGGGUGAGUAACACGUGGAUAACCUACCUAUAAGACUGGGAUAACUUCGGGAAACCGGAGCUAAUACCGGAUAAUAUAUUGAACCGCAUGGUUCAAUAGUGAAAGACGGUUUUGCUGUCACUUAUAGAUGGAUCCGCGCCGCAUUAGCUAGUUGGUAAGGUAACGGCUUACCAAGGCAACGAUGCGUAGCCGACCUGAGAGGGUGAUCGGCCCCACUGGAACUGAGCCACGGUCCAGACUCCUACGGGAGGCAGCAGUAGGGAAUCUUCCGCAAUGGGCGAAAGCAUGACGGAGCAACGCCGCGUGAGUGAUGAAGGUCUUCGGAUCGUAAAACUCUGUUAUUAGGGAAGAACAAAUGUGUAAGUAACUAUGCACGUCUUGACGGUACCUAAUCAGAAAGCCACGGCUAACUACGUG
rnacentral:rRNA from 1 species